AAGACCUGUGGAAGUCAAGCAUCUGGAAUGUGUCGUUUGUAUAGUGCCCUGCUUCCCAUGCUGCUGUAUCUUUUCCUCUUCUCCCUAAGUGCGGAAUCCAGCUGCCCCGAUAAAGACCACCUACCAAGUGACUGCAAGUAUUGUUACAACAGUGAAGGACAACGCUGGGGCUGCUGGUCGGAAAAUAGAUGCCCAUAUCCCUGUGACUUUUGUUACGGAUUCCAAGCAGGCUGCGCCGGAGCAUGCGCCUACAACGAAACAGCUUAUUGGAUAAGAAGAAGAGAAAUGGUGCAAACAGCGCCACCAUGCUUUCCGAAAAAAUCAUGUUGAUGAAUUGUUUCAUCGAAUAUGUCUUAAAAGUUUGCUAAAUUACAUCCUGUUUCAAUUUUCAAAUAUUGUGAAUACCCUGUGAAUAAAGUGAUAUUUCUUAUUGUGUGAAA